rnacentral:rRNA from 1 species
AGCGAACGCUGGCGGCAGGCUUAACACAUGCAAGUCGAGCGGGCAUCCUUUUGGUGUCAGCGGCAGACGGGUGAGUAACGCGUGGGAACGUGGCCUUCAGUUCGGACUAACUUUUGGAAACUUGAGCUAAUACCGGAUACGUGCGAGAACAGAAAGGUUUAUCUGCGGUAGGAUCGGGCCGCGUCUGAUUAGCUAGUUGUUGAGGUUAUGGCUCACCACGGGGACGUUCAGUAGCUGGUUUGAGAGGAUGAUCAGCCACACUGGGACUGAGACACGGCCCAGACUCCUACGGGAGGGAGCAGUGUGGAAUAUAGGACGACGGAGUCAACCCUGAUCCCGCCAUGCCGGGUAAGUCAUGACGGCCUUAGGGAAGUACAGCUGGUUUCUACGGGGCGAUAAUGACGGUACCGGAGGAAUAAGCACCGGCUAACUUCGUG